UCGAUAAAUAUGUUUGACUUUGUGCCUCAACCUAAACCGUAUUAAUGAGUCAAGUAUGUUUACAAGGAGUGUAAUUCCUCAAUUCUCAUCGACAAACCAUAUUUCUCCCUACAAAGCAUUCUCUCGAAAGCAUUUCUCAUUAGUUCAACUUUCGAGCAUUUUGGGUAGUGAUAGAAGCAUUUUGGAGUGGUUAUUCUCAUAAAGGUAGUUCACAUAUUGAGCAGUAGAAGAAGUUCACAUUACGCAGAGAAAGGGUUAACAUUGUGGGCAUCAUAGGAUAGGAGGAUCUUGAUUUUUUCCACUGAUUGGAGAAGCUAGAUGAGUUGCUGGACAACUAACACAUUGAUGAAUGAAUCAACGUCAUGUGUACGCGGGUUUGAGUUUUGAAAUGAAGCCUCCCCUGAUUGAUAAGGCAUUCAAGUCGACUCAAGUAGUUUUGCCAGAAUAUCUGCUUGACUAUACAAGGGGUAGGAGUCCUUCAUGGGGUUUGCCAUGGCAUGAGGUGGACUCAAUUCUUGUACCAUGCCUUUUUUAUGGUCAUUAGGUGGUAGUGUAUAUCAACUUUGUAAUGAUCGCUCCUCGAUCACUAUCGACGUCUGAUUCUUACGGGAGAACCUGCCAAGUCUCG